AACCGCGAACGUCACCUGCGAAUUUUAAACGUAAUCUUGCGCAAGAGCGUGCAAUAAAGAGUAAAAUGCAACUUUCAUCUGAAAAUUUCCCAUUGCCACACACAAAGAAGAUCCAUAAAUUAAAACGGCUCGCGAGACUUAAAAAGGAGCGCUGAAAAUGAAAAAAAAAUUGACUUUAUUAUAUUUAUUAAGAUAAGGAGCGUUAAUUGCGGUAAUUAGCGCUGGUAUGAAUAAUAUUACGGCCUGAUGUAUCAGGGAUUGUUAAAAGUAACACAGAAGCUAUUUCAAGCGCCAUUCACGAGGCAAUGCUUAAGAGUCAGAGUGAGUGUGUGUGUGUGUGAGAGAGAGAGGAUGGAUUCCGCUCCAGUUCGUUUCCAUUAGCUCUUUUUUAAACAAGAUGUAACAACUUUUCUUUUUAUCUAUAUUAUGCAUCUUAUUGUUACUUUAUAGCAACGCGUUAUUUACAUUGUUAGUAACGCGAGGUUAAGAGGAACACGAAGCC